AUCUGCUCUGCUGGAGUUUUGUGUGUGAGCCCAGGAUAGGGAUUUUGCCACUGUAAACAAAUUUUACAGCUGCUCUGUGCCUGUUACUGCGAUGUAAUUCUUCCUAGCAGCAUGGAAAAUUGGUGGGGCAAGUGAUCACUAUGCUGCUCCAUGCCUGUUGCAGUGUAGCCCAGUAUAGUGAUAAUGGCACAGUGACUGAUUGCAAUAACAAUUACGAACUGGAUCUUCAGUGGUAUGAAUGGCAGAUUAGUGUAUCUUUUAACAGAAACAUCUGACAAGACAGCCUCCAUAUUAUGCCAAAGCUUAAUCCAGGCUUAAUUUCAGACACGCCAGAGUGAUCGUAUUGAAAUAGCAAGAUGUGAUUCCUGCUCCAGCAGGCACGCUGGGAGGCCCGAGUACUCCACAAGCAGUGUGCAGCAGACCCUGGAGUGGCCGCGUAGCCGAUUCACAGCUUAUACACAACCUCCGCAACGACUCGGAGCUCUUUCUCGCCCUCCAGCUCAUUUCCGAAGCCCGGGGCUUGCCAGCACUCCGACAGAGGACGGGGACGGGAUGGGAGCGUCCCCGCGGCGAGGCCGGCGGCGCUCGGCCGCCUCCUGCUGGCCCCGGCGGGCAGCGCAGGCAGCCUUUGUUCGGGGCGCCAACGCAGCUGCCCCUUUAUAAUUUUUUCUUGAUUACUUUUUUCUUUCUUUUUUAAACUUUCUUCUUUUCAUUUCACCCUUUUUUUUUUUUCCUUUUUUCCUUUUUUUUUUUUUUCCUUUCUUUUUCUUUUCUUCUCUCCAACCUGACAAGUGAUGUUGACAUCUUAGCAGGUUUCUCACCGCAGCCCCUGCUGGUGAAAGGUGUCCACACUCUCUACUUAUCUGCCUGGGGUUCCAAGGAAGCCCCAAGCCCAUCUCAGAGCAGCAUGAUUUGCUUUCUCCUCUCCCCCCACAGUUCUUUUUCUAGAAGUUCAUAUUGCCUAAGAAACUGGGUAAAAGAAAAAAAAAAAAAGCAUUAAUCCUGUCCAUUUGAGUCAGCAAACCUCUGAUCCUCAGACACUUCCGCAACUAUUUUAAAGGGGUUGCUUCAGUGGUUACACUAGACUGAGGUAUCCGGGUAAUUGGAGCUUGUGUUAGAGCUGGAUGUAACUGCACAACAAAAAAGAGAGGAGACUGAAUUGUUUUGAAACCAGAGGUUCCUUCCCUGACUUACCAAAUUGCUGCCAGUGUUCAGAUAGCUGGCCUUGGUGCAGGUCUGACCUUUUCCAAAGCUCAGAAGUAUCUGUGCUGCAUCUCCCAUAGAGCCAGCUGAAUAUUUUGGGUUCAGUUGGAUGUCCAGCCUUCUGUGAUUUUGCAAGUUGUCCUGAACCAAAUUGUAUGGGCAGGUCCCAGCUGAGACUUCCAGGCUCUCUGAGAUUGCCUCUAGAAACAGAGCAAGAAAACUGUCAGAAAUGUAUGACUGUCACCAGAAACCCUCAGACUGGCCCACUGUUGUGUUCUGCUUCAAAGAGUCCUAAUGUCUGUUCGGUGCCUUGGUGUGCAUUGAGAGGGAAGAACCACGGAACUUCUUGAGACAGAGCUGGCCAGGCACUUUCCUGCUGGCCGAGUACUGAGAUGUAAGCUUUUGCACUCUCUGCACUUUUGUGCAGACAUCAGACUCUGAGGCAAAGAUCAACUCCUGUGAGGUUUGUGGGGAAAAUACAGAGAAGUACCUGGAGAUCUCUUUGAGAACUAUUGCUCUUCAGAGAAAGGAAGUUCACAGGACACCUCUGUUUUGGGAAUUCACUCACAGUGCAUACCCUACAGCUGCUGGCAGAAAGCCUCUCUGUGGCCUCCUGAUUACUGACAGAAGGAGCAUCCCCUGCCUCCACUGUUUGGAGAUAAAAAUGCAAAAUCCCAUUACCCAUGGAUGCUUUCUGAUGUUGUGCAGAAGCCUAAGGUAUACAUACACUGUUCAGUACAUCAUACUACCCAAAGGGAUAGCAUUUUUCAGAGCAUUGUGUGAAGGCUGUUGCUUGUCACAAACCCUCUUCUGCUCCCAGAUAAAGUGUUGUUACUUCUGUCUCAGACAAACCACCCUCAAGUUCUUCUAUGUACUUCUGUGGGAUCUUUGGCAGUACACAGAGCAAGAGACAUGUCCAAACAAAUUUUCUGUACGCUGAUACUGAGGAAGAAAGUGAAGUGUCAAAAUGUCAAGAUUAUGAGCCAAAUGACAACUGCACUUGUUGAGAUAAGAGCAUAGAAAUAGCCCACAGGUUCUCUCAAAGGCAGCAUAGCACAGUAGUUCAAUAGAACCAUUCUAAGGGGCAAGUCCUGCUUGUAUGUUCAAUGAUGUUAUCUGCACCACCUCUGCCUCAGUCAUUGCUAGGAGAUCAUAAUGGCCAAUCCUGCCUCUUAGGAUAAUGUCUAAGUUUUUAGAAUGCUUUAAUUACAGAAAUGUGGUUUAUAAACUCUUUCUCUCAGCUUGAACUCCCUACAGGUGUUAGUGGUGAAACUGGAGCUCUCUCCACAGGGCUGAAUCUGUAGGCCACAUUUAUGUGAUGGGAAACUGGACAGGACCACGGCAAUAGUUACAGACACUGCUGGCCAAGAGGGAUAUCAAAAACAGAUGUGUGCCUUUGGACAAGACCAGGAGAGCCACCUUUAGAGCAGCCAUCCAUUAUCAGAGAUAUGUGAAGUGUAAGGAAACUCAGAUUCCUCUGGAACCCGAAAUGCCCAUCUAGCAAGAGAUGGAGAAUCGGCUUGUAAGCUCCUUCAUAGCACAGUGAGAAAUUCAGCUUUUUCAAGACUCAUCUAAAAUUGAAAAGUGUCUCCAAAGGAAUUGUUUGUUGCUUUGUUUGCAAAAAGUGCAAACGGCACAUCAGAGAAGCAAUAAUGCCUUGGUGGAUUGUUUGGCUGAACACUUAGUCAGAGUAUAUUGUAAUGAGCCAUAUGCUAGCUUUGCAUGGUAUUACAGGGCAAGCCAGCUGCAAUGUGCAGCUGAUUAGUCUGGUUGAAAAAAAAUCUUCGUUUUCCAUAACAGGAGACCAGCAAAGGCAAGCAUUCUGGCAGGUGCCAAACAGCCCCUCUGACUGCUUCUGUCAUGUUGCUGUGGAUCAGAACAAGCCAGGAGAGAAAAAGAACCUCUGCUUUAUUUCUGUCCAAAGAAGGGAACCUCCUUUAGCCCUAGGCUUGUUUAACAGUAGCUGUUCACAAACCAUACCCCUUUCACUUUCUUACAGAAGAGGUUUCCAUCUCUCCCUGCAGCUGUCGCUCUUGUUGUCUCAGUCAGAGUUCAGUCAUUCAGCCCUGAAC